UACGUAGGGGGCAAGCGUUGUCCGGAUUUAUUGGGCGUAAAGAGCGUGUAGGCGGCCAGGUAGGUCUGGUGUGAAAACUCGAGGCUUAACCUCGAGAUGUCAUCGGAAACCAUCUGGCUAGAGUCCGGAAGAGGAGAGUGGAAUUCCUGGUGUAGCGGUGAAAUGCGCAGAUAUCAGGAAGAACACCAAUGGCGAAAGCAGCUCUCUGGGAGGGUACUGACGCUGAGACGCGAAAGCGUGGGGAGAGAACAGG
rnacentral:rRNA from 1 species